UACGAGGGGGGCAAGCGUUGUUCGGAAUUAUUGGGCGUAAAGGGCGCGUAGGCGGUUUGACAAGUCUGAUGUGAAAUCUCUGGGCUCAACCCAGAGUCUGCAUUAGAAACUGUCGGGCUUGAGUAUGGGAGAGGUGAGUGGAAUUUCCGGUGUAGCGGUGAAAUGCGUAGAUAUCGGAAGGAACACCUGUGGCGAAAGCGGCUCACUGGACCAUAACUGACGCUGAGGCGCGAAAGCUAGGGGAGCA
rnacentral:rRNA from 1 species